GACGAACGCUGGCGGCGUGCCUAAUACAUGCAAGUCGAGCGAAGCGGCGGAUGAGUGGGUAAUGCGUGGGUAACCUGCCCGUAAGUCUGGGAUAGCAGCUGGAAACGGAUGCUAAUAACGGAUACUAAGGGAUUGAGCUGGGAUGCAUUAGAUAGAUGGUAAGGUAACGGCUUACCAAGGCGAUGAUGCAUAGCCGAGUGGAGAGAAUGAUCAGCCACAUUGGGACUGAGACACGGCCCAAACUCCUACGGGAGGCAGCAGUAGGGAAUCUUCCACAAUGGGCGCAAGCCUGAUGCAGCCAUGCCGCGUGUAUGAAGAAGGCCUUCGGGUUGUAAAGUACUUUCAGCGAGGAGGCGUUACUCGCAGAAGAAGCACCGGCUAACUCCGUGCCAGCCGCCGCGGUAAUUC
rnacentral:rRNA from 1 species